CAGAGGGUGCAAGCGUUGUUCGGAAUUAUUGGGCGUAAAGGGUGCGUAGGCGGUCGGGUAAGUCUGAUGUGAAAUCUCCGAGCUUAACUCGGAAAUGGCAUUGGAUACUAUUCGGCUGGAGAGUUGGAGGGGGGACUGGAAUACUUGGUGUAGCAGUGAAAUGCGUAGAUAUCAAGUGGAACACCAGUGGCGAAGGCGAGUCCCUGGACAACUUCUGACGCUGAGGCACGAAAGCUAGGGGGAGCAAACAGGAUUAGAUACCCUGGUAGUCCUAGCCGUAAACGGUGCGUAUUUGCUGUAAAAGGAAUCGACCCCUUUUGUGGCGUAGCAAACGCGUUAAAUACGCCGCCUGGGAAGUACGGUCGCAAGAUUA
rnacentral:rRNA from 1 species